rnacentral:rRNA from 1 species
UACGAAGGGGGCUAGCGUUGCUCGGAAUCACUGGGCGUAAAGCGCACGUAGGCGGACUCUUAAGUCAGUGGUGAAAUCCUGGAGCUCAACUCCAGAACUGCCUUCGAUACUGGGAGUCUCGAGUCCGGGAGAGGUGAGUGGAACUGCGAGUGUAGAGGUGAAAUUCGUAGAUAUUCGCAAGAACACCAGUGGCGAAGGCGGCUCACUGGCCCGGUACUGACGCUGAGGUGCGAAAGCGUGGGGAGCAAACAGG